AAGUCGUAACAAGGUCUCCGUAGGUGAACCUGCGGAGGGAUCAUUCACAUGAUAUACUUGAAACAAACUGUGAACUUUAUAAAUACUAUUCGUGUUUUUUAUCAGUUUUACUGUAUAAUAAACAUCGUCAUUCGAUUGAACAUAAGAUAGUUGGCUUGAAAUGUAACAAUUUCUUUCUCAGCUUUGAUUUGAUAGAACUCAACAUUUUAUCACUUCAACAAUAAAACAUAGAAACAACUCUAUGCCCUGGAUAUCUUGGUUCUC
rnacentral:misc_RNA from 1 species